GACGAACGCUGGCGGCGUGCCUAAUACAUGCAAGUCGAGCGGAGCUUAUCCUUCGGGGUAAGCUUAGCGGCGGACGGGUGAGUAACACGUAGGCAACCUACCCUGUAGACUGGGAUAACUACCGGAAACGGUAGCUAAUACCGGAUAAUUCCUUUCUUCUCCUGAAGAAAGGAUGAAAGGCGGAGCAAUCUGCUACUAGAGGAUGGGCCUGCGGCGCAUUAGCUAGUUGGUGGGGUAACAGCCAACCAAGGCGACGAUGCGUAGCCGACCUGGGAGGGUGAACGUCCACACGGGGACUGCGACACGGCCCAGACUCCUACGGGAGGCAGCCGUAGGGUAUCUUCCGCAAUUGGCGAAAGCCUGACGGAGCAACGCCGCGUGAGUGAUGAAGGUUUUCGGAUCGUAAAGCUCUGUUGCCAGGGAAGAACGUCCGGUAGAGUAACUGCUACCGGAGUGACGGUACCUGAGAAGAAAGCCCCGGCUAACUACGUGCCAGCAGCCGCCGUAA
rnacentral:rRNA from 1 species